UCCUUCAUAAGCUGGCCGGCCAUCUUGGAGCAGGAAAGGAGAAGAAGAAACUCCAUUUUCUUGCUUUUUACUCCUAGUUUAAUCUUAGGAAAAAAAAAAUCAAAAGUGAAGGAGUGAGUUAGUGAGUGAAAUCCAUCCAACUCUAGUGUGUGAUCUUCAAGCCUUGAAGCUUUUGGUUGGUGGUUGUUUUGGGUGGCUUAAUCAACUUGUAAGAGAGGUAUGUGAUCUUUAAUCCUUGCUUUUAUGGUGUUAUAUUAAGUAUUUAAAGGUUUGAGGGUAAACUAGAAGUUGUACGGACGCUUCCUAUGGCUAAAUCUCUUGAAUUAGUGAAGUGAUAGUUGGGUUGGUUAAGUGGCCUACCAUGUGUUUGAUUAAUUGUUAAAGCUUUGAUUCAUGGUUUUAGUUAGAGUUAACACUUGGUAUGUUGGUUAAGAGGAAAACAAUGAAAGGAUGAAGCAAGAAAAGUAGUGGUAUGCACUAAUAGCCCAAAUUUCAGAUUUCUGGAAAUUCAAACUUCAGUUCUACCCGGUUCCAGUUAUUGAUGUUAGAGGCCGAAUUAGGCUUAGCACAAAACAUGAAAGUUGUAGAGAAUAAUGUUUUCUAGUUGCCUGCAAAAUUUUAGCCCAAUCAGAGUAACGUAGCCUGUGAAAAAACAGAAAUACCCUUGCUUCCCUGUUUCUGUCCGAAACUGAUAAUCAGCUUCUGUAAUUGGUUAGUUUGACCGGGAAUACUACUGAUUUGGUUGUUGAUGUCUUCUUAAGAAUUAUAGCCUUGUAUCUUAGCUUUCAAAUGACUUUGGAAUUACCUGAAUCGGAGUUGUGUGUGCUGAGAUAUGCUUGAAUGAAUCAGGACUGCUAGUGGAAUUUCACAGUGAGUUUCGAACUGGAAAAUCUGGAGUUGUUUUGGUACCUUUGACCUAGUUAGGAUGAAAACUAGACUAAGUGGUCUUCAUCAAAGUUAUAACCCUCUAUCUUAGUUUCGAAACGGUAUAACUUAUACUUCAAUCCAAUAAGCGUAGUUUCAGUUAGGUCCGAUACGCUAAGUAGCGGUGAAUCUGCCUUUUUGGUUUCCUAGCUUAAAGCUCAUUUCCGGUCAUUUUCCUAGCUAAAUCUUGUACUUGAAUGACUUUGAGCCUAUUGAACAGCUGUUGUAAUGAAUUUAUAUUGCGUAUGACUUUGGGAUUGAUUGAGGGAAAUAAUGAAAUUAUAAGUGGUUGGGAAAAUAGGUAAAAACAAAGGGCAUGCUAUGAUUUUCCCUCAGUCACACGUGGCUUUUACCUUUUGACUAACAUAACUAUGAAGAAUUUUUCAAGUGUUGGGAAUUCAGGGAUCAUAAAAAAGUGUUUCCUCCAAAAAAAAAAAGGGGGAACAUAAACUAGUGCAAGAAAUUAGACAAUUUCUUCAGGUUUUAAAAUGCUACUUGCCGUCAGAAUAUGUGGAUAAAUUUUAUUUACAACUAAUUUAACUUUAAUAAACAAAUCGAAGUUGUUGAAUAAUUGAAACAAUUUGUAAUAUAGGUAGAAGCUUUCUUGCUUAUUUUUCUUCAAGUCAAGCCACGACCAGAUGGAAGCUUCUUACAAUUACGACUACACGACUAGAUCAAUUAGUGGUCCAAGUCUUCAACUGUGUCUCUCUUGACCAAGUCAUGCAAGAUUGAUUCAUCAGCAUUCAAUUCAACUCAACAACGUGAAGACUAAGGAAGCUAAUGUACUUGACAUUAUAUAAAAGAACAAGCACGUUUUUUUAAUAAAAUAAACAAAAAAGAGCACGUUUCUAAAUGAGAAACUACCUAAGCUGUAUCCCUAAAGUCAACUAGGAAAUUAAUAAUUCGUCAUUAGUGAUGAAAGUGAAGGCAAAUAGCUAUGAAAAAUAAUGUUCUUUUUUUUCCUCCGAAGCCCAAAGAGCUUACGUCAAUUUUUACAAACCUAAACCCCGAGAGAACUCCAAAAGCUUAUGAAAAAUAAUGUUCUAAAUAACCAAAAAAUGUCCUAUACAGAAUCAUUUCGAGAUACUAUAAUCUCAUGCUGUUAACCCUAAAAUGUAAUGAAACCACCAAAAUUAGUGAGCAGGUUAUAUAAUCUUUUGCCUCUAUUUUAUUAAGUUCUACCAAUUGGCAUAAAUAAUGGGUGGUGUAUGAAUUGAAGAAGGGCAUGCACGUCGUUCACUUUCUAUACGGGUGACAUUUGAAUAAUCACAAGCUUGUUUGCUGCUGCCAAAUGGGAAUUGGCUGCUGACAACAAUAGAAUUGAAUAGUAACAGUAGCAGUAAAGAUGAUGAAAUAUCAAGAAGAUGAUCCAUUGGAAUUUUUUGGUAACUGUUUAUCUGAUAAAGAGAGCUCAGAUGGGUGGUUUUAUUUACGUAAGUUAUGAAACCAUCACUUUAUAGAGUUUCUUUCUGUGCUUGCAGAAACUCUAUUAAGGUGAUAAAACGAGGACGAAGACGGUGGCGGCUUGAAGUUUUCAUGGAAAAAAAACUUGUGGACGUGCUGGAUGGGUGGUAUUGUGGCAACUAGCAAUGUCCACUUGUCAACCAAAACCUUGACAGCGUGAAAAUUCCUUGGGUUCUUGUGGGAAAGACCUUGGAGACACACAUACUCAGAUACGGGGUUGUGAGUAAUAACCGUUUAAAAUAAUGUAAUAUUUUUUAAAUAAAGUAUAACUUGAUAUGAAUUAUUUGUAAAAUUUAAUAGCAGAAACACAAUUAUUACAUAUAGAAUCCACAUAAACAGUAACAGAAUAUCACACAUCUAUUAUAAGAAUGUACAAGAAGUUAAUAUAGUAUUACAAACCGUUUAAAAAUGUUACACUAUUCAGGAUAUCAACAGUCCCUGCCCUGCGUUCAUACAUGCUCCAUAAAUGGACAUUUUAAUUCAUUAAAUUUGGGUUUCAAAUUGAUUUGGUUGCCUAUGUUACACAAUAAUCAGUUCUGACCCUAUCUUUUGCAAUUGAUAUCAAUUCGUGAUCAAGGCACGCUUUAUAUGUAUCAUGUGUUUAAAUAAUAUAACUCAUAUUUAGCUAUAAAAGUUAUUUUACUAAAAAUUGGUUUUACAUUUUGAAAAUUUUAAAGAUAAUGUAAAAGAUGACACAAAAUUUUAGCACCACAGAUUCAAAUCACACUUUAUAUAGUUAGAU
rnacentral:lncRNA from 1 species